CGCGGGCGCGCGGGCGGGCUGAGCUCACACUCCCGGGAAGCGGCCGCGGCGGAGCCGGGGUCCGCAGCGGCUGCGCAUCGCGCGCCUCCCGCCGGGCGCUCAGGGGCUGCGAGGUGGGCUGAGCGGUCCCCCGGGAGGGAGGAGGCCGGCCGGAGGGGGCGCGGAGAGGAACUGCAAAUGACAGAGCAGAGGGACGGCUGGCCCAGCCAAUCCUGGAGCUGCUGCAGCACUUGUUCCCCAAACAAACACGUUCUGGUGCAAGGACAGAGAGGAGGGGGCUGCUGGCUCACGCGCCCCCCCCCCCCCACCGGGGACCACAGCCCCCUUGCUGCUCCUGUGUGGGAAGGACAGCCCGGCACCUUGGGCCACACGGACGGAGGCUGCCCUGGGCCAGGCAGGAACUGGGUUCCUACCACGUUCGGUAAGUUUCUGGGAGCUGGGAAGACAGGACUGGCCAAUUUGACCUUGGAGAAAUUGCAGUGGAUAGGAGGAAGACUACUGAGAGGCCCCAAGUUGUGCCUGCUAUAGCCACGAGCCAUCGGUCUUUAAUUAGCCUCCACCAGCAAGACUGUUUGUUCUGGUUCCUUCCCAGUCAUCACUCUAGAGGAGUAAGAGCACUGCACAGAGCGUCAGGAGGCUUCUGCCAGCUACGUGGUCUCGGGUUUCUGGUGCCGGGCAGGCGUUUUGACCGAGCUGUGCAGAUUUCUCUGAUGCUUUGUGGGAAGGAGUAGCAGAAAUGGAGGCCUGCUCUCUAGGGUAGACCCCUGUCUCCAAAGUGGUGGGCGCCCUCCAGAGGGAGUGUGGCCCUUGUCCCUCUUGGGAAUGUGGAAAUGCGGGAAGAGCAGGUUUUCCCAGUCACCAAGCAGUUGGCAGGCUACAGCCCAUAGGUCAGAUGCCUGCUUUUGUAAAUAAAGUUUUAUUGGAACCCA